rnacentral:rRNA from 1 species
UACGUAGGGUCCGAGCGUUGUCCGGAAUUACUGGGCGUAAAGAGCUCGUAGGUGGUUUGUCGCGUUGUCCGUGAAAUUCCCUGGCUUAACUGGGGGCGUGCGGGCGAUACGGGCAGACUGGAGUACUGCAGGGGAGACUGGAAUUCCUGGUGUAGCGGUGGAAUGCGCAGAUAUCAGGAGGAACACCGAUGGCGAAGGCAGAUCUCUGGGCCGUUACUGA